rnacentral:rRNA from 1 species
AUGCUCUCGGAGGAGGCUGACUCUGUGGUUUGGCCACUUACGGCCUCUAGGCUAUUCUCGGUCAAAUCGUUGUAUUCUAGACUCAUUGGUGGUACUACUUCGGCUCGCUUCUCUUGUAUUUGGAAAUCUAAGGUCCCUCCUAAGAUUAAGAUUUUCCUCUGGCAAGCCUUCCGAGGUCGCCUUCCUUCUGCUGAUCAGAUCAAAAAACGCAAUGGGCCGGGCUCGGAAUUCUGUAACUUGUGUGGGGCUUUGGAAAACUCUAAUCACAUCUUUUUCAACUGUGUUCUUGCCAAAUUAGUUUGGUCUUGCGUAAGAUCAUGGCUUCGGGUCUCCUGGGAUCCCUCCUCUUUCGCAGACACUAGAACCCUAGCCAAAUCUCUGGUAGGGGUCACCAAGAGGGUAUUCUGGGUUGGCUUGAGAGCCUUAUGUUGGGCUCUUUGGACCAUUAGAAACAAAUUUACUAUUGAGCUUACCUUCCCAUCUAAGCCUGCUGACGUUCUUUUCAAAUCAUGUAUAUUCUUGCAGCAGUGGAGAUUAUUGACUAAGGAGCCAGAUCGGGACGCCCUGGACCUGCUCAUCGCCAAAAUUCGGGCUUCAGCCUCUCAGAUCUCCGGGACGAAUCAUGGCGUAUAA